UACGAGGACGACGCUGGCGGCGUGCUUAACACAUGCAAGUCGAACGGUAAGGCCCUUCGGGGUACACGAGUGGCGAACGGGUGAGUAACACGUGGGUGAUCUGCCCUGCACUUCGGGAUAAGCCUGGGAAACUGGGUCUAAUACCGGAUAGGACCAUGGACUUCACGGUUUGUGGUGGAAAGCUUUUGCGGUGUGGGAUGGGCCCGCGGCCUAUCAGCUUGUUGGUGGGGUAAUGGCCUACCAAGGCGACGACGGGUAGCCGGCCUGAGAGGGUGUCCGGCCACACUGGGACUGAGAUACGGCCCAGACUCCUACGGGAGGCAGCAGUGGGGAAUAUUGCACAAUGGGCGCAAGCCUGAUGCAGCGACGCCGCGUGAGGGAUGACGGCCUUCGGGUUGUAAACCUCUUUCAAUAGGGACGAAGCGCAAGUGACGGUACCUAUAGAAGAAGCACCGGCCAACUACGUG
rnacentral:rRNA from 1 species